rnacentral:rRNA from 1 species
GACGAACGCUGGCGGCGUGCCUAAUACAUGCAAGUCGAACGAAGCUGUUUUAACUGGUGCUUGCACCGACUUAAACAACUGAGUGGCGAACGGGUGAGUAACACGUGGGUAACCUGCCCCAAAGCGGGGGAUAACAUUUGGAAACAGAUGCUAAUACCGCAUAACCACAGAAACCACAUGGUUUCUGUGUCAAAGAUGGUUUCGGCUAUCACUUUGGGAUGGACCCGCGGCGUAUUAGCUAGUUGGUAAGGUAAUGGCUUACAAAGGCAAGGAGACGUAGCCGAACUGAGAGGUUGAUCGGCCACAUUGGGACUGAGACACGGCCCAAACUCCUACGGGAGGCAGCAGUAGGGAAUCUUCCACAAUGGACGAAAGUCUGAUGGAGCAACGCCGCGUGAGUGAAGAAGGUUUUCGGAUCGUAAAACUCUGUUGUCAGAGAAGAACGUGUGCGAGAGUAACUGCUCGUGCAGUGACGGUAUCUGGCCAGAAAGCCACGGCUAACUACGUGCCAGCAGCCGCCGUAA